rnacentral:rRNA from 1 species
CUUAAAGGAAUUGACGGGCCCCGCACAAGCAGCGGAGCGUGUGGUUUAAUUCGAUGUUACACGAAGAACCUUACCAGGGUUUGACGUGCAAGUGGUAGGAAGCCGAAAGGUGACCGACCCUUCGGGGAGCUUGCACAGGUGCUGCAUGGCUGUCGUCAGCUCGUGUCGUGAGAUGUUCGGUUAAGUCCGCUAACGAGCGCAACCCUCGCUGUGUGUUAUAUGUGUCACACGGGACUGCCGGUCUUAAGCCGGAGGAAGGUGGGGAUGAUGUCAAGUCAGCAUGGCCUUUAUAUCCUGGGCUACACACACGCUACAAUGGCCAACACAAUAGGUUGCUAAGCCGCGAGGUGGCGCCAAUCCAUAAAGCUGGUCUCAGUUCAGAUUGCAGGCUGCAACCCGCCUGCAUGAAGAUGGAGUUGCUAGUAACCGCAGGUCAGCUAUACUGCGGUGAAUACGUUCCGGGGCUU